rnacentral:rRNA from 1 species
CCUACGGGGGGCAGCAGUGAGGAAUAUUGGGCAAUGGACGAGAGUCUGAACCAGCCAAGUAGCGUGAAGGAUGACUGCCCUAUGGGUUGUAAACUUCUUUUAUAUGGGAAUAAAAUGUUCCACGUGUGGGAUUUUGUAUGUACCAUAUGAAUAAGGAUCGGCUAACUCCGUGCCAGCAGCCGCGGUAAUACGGAGGAUCCGAGCGUUAUCCGGAUUUAUUGGGUUUAAAGGGAGCGUAGGUGGAUUGUUAAGUCAGUUGUGAAAGUUUGCGGCUCAACCGUAAAAUUGCAGUUGAAACUGGCAGUCUUGAGUACAGUAGAGGUGGGCGGAAUUCGUGGUGUAGCGGUGAAAUGCUUAGAUAUCACGAAGAACUCCGAUUGCGAAGGCAGUUCACUGGACUGCAACUGACACUGAGGCUCGAAAGUGUGGGUAUCAAACAGGAUUAGAUACCCGUGUAGUC